rnacentral:rRNA from 1 species
UUUAUGGAGAGUUUGAUCCUGGCUCAGAGUGAACGCUGGCGGCGUGCCUAACACAUGCAAGUCGUGCGAGAUUUUGCAGAGUAUCGCAAAGUUUAGCGGCAAACGGGUGAGUAACACGUGGGGAACCUCCCUCAAAAUGGGGAAUAUCUCCGAGAAAUCGGAGUCAAUACCACAUAAUACCACAACUUGGCAUCAAUUUGAGGUUAAAGCAGUAAUGCGUUUUGAGAUGGUCCUGCGGCCUAUCAGUUAGUUGGUGGGGUAAAGGCCUACCAAGGCUAUGACGGGUAUCCGGCCUGAAAGGGUGAACGGACACACUGGAACUGAGACACGGUCCAGACUCCUACGGGAGGCAGCAGUGGGGAAUUUUGGACAAUGGGGGCAACCCUGAUCCAGCGACGCCGCGUGGAGGACGAAGGUCUUCGGAUUGUAAACUCCUUUUAGAGGGGAAGAAAAAAAUGACGGUACCCUCAGAAAAAGCCACGGCUAACUACGUGCCAGC